UGUUUGAAAAAAGUAAAGAAAAAACUUUUUGAUCUGCUAGCAUGUAACUGCAGGCUUGAAGUUCUUCCUUGUGAUGACAGGAAUAUCAAAUGCUCAGGUUGUUAAAAUGUGCAUCUUUACUGUAGUUGUGUUGGUAGUACAAAAGUUCCUUUGGAAGAGCGCUCCUAUUUAAAAGACCAAAGGGAGAAAAUUGGUACUAAAGAAAAGUUUCAAAUAGGAGGUAUUGAUAACUCUGUUUUAUCACCUACCUCAAGAAAUACAAUGCAAACAAAAGCUUCUGAUGAAGAAAUUUAUAUUAAAGAGUUUGACACAAUCAUGGAUUCAGAUCAGAGUGAAACUUCAAUUUCAUCAUUAAAUCAGACUAGAUCAAAGUACUAUAACACUACCCACUAUCUCAAAUUUGCUUUAGAGAUAAUUAGAUAUGGAAUAUCAGAUAAAGCAGCUGCCCCU